UACGAAGGGGGCUAGCGUUGCUCGGAAUUACUGGGCGUAAAGCGCACGUAGGCGGCUUGUUAAGUCAGGGGUGAAAUCCUGGAGCUCAACUCCAGAACUGCCUUUGAUACUGAGGAUCUUGAGUUCGGGAGAGGUGAGUGGAACUGCGAGUGUAGAGGUGAAAUUCGUAGAUAUUCGCAAGAACACCAGUGGCGAAGGCGGCUCACUGGCCCGAUACUGACGCUGAGGCACGAAAGCGUGGGGAGCAAACAGGG
rnacentral:rRNA from 1 species